rnacentral:rRNA from 1 species
UUAGUGGCGAACGGGUGAGUAACAUAUCGGAACGUACCAGUAAUGGGGAUAACUAGUCGAAAGACUGGCUAAUACCGCAUACGCCCUGAGGGGGAAAGCGGGGAUCGAAAGACCUCGUGUUAUUGGAGCGGCCGAUAUCUGAUUAGCUAGUUGGUGGGGUAAAGGCCUACCAAGGCGACGAUCAGUAGCUGGUCUGAGAGGACGACCAGCCACACUGGAACUGAGACACGGUCCAG